CCAUCUAGCAAUCCAUUAUCAGACUCUCUUAAAUUAUUUGCUGAAAAUGAAACGAUGCUUACCGUAUCAUGGCAAUGCUAGCGAGACGAAACUUGACGUAAGUUAUUUCCUUUGGGAAACUAAAAUUACCCGAAGACACUUGCCUUUGUACAUAUGCAACAUAAUAUUUGUACAUAGGUAAACUGAACAAGAAUAAAAAAGAAAAAACAUUCAAAA